rnacentral:piRNA from 1 species
UGCAAUAAGGCAAAGCACAGAUCCUCAAAU